UCGGGAAUUUUGGGCAAUGGGGGAAACCCUGACCCAGCAACGCCGCGUGAAGGAUGAAGUAUUUCGGUAUGUAAACUUCGUAAGAAUAGGAAGAAUCAAUGACGGUACUAUUUGUAAGCUCCGGCUAACUACGUGCCAGCAGCCGCGGUAAUACGUAGGGGGCAAGCGUUGUUCGGAAUUACUGGGCGUAAAGCGCACGUAGGCGGAUUUUUAAGUCAGGGGUGAAAUCCCAAGGCUCAACCUUGGAACUGCCUUUGAUACUGGAAGUCUUGAGAUCGGGAGAGGUGAGUGGAAUUCCUAGUGUAGAGGUGAAAUUCGUAGAUAUCAAGAGGAACACCUGAGGUGAAGACGGGUUGCUGGGCUGACACUGACGCUGAGGCGCGAAAGCCAGGGGAGCAAACGGGAUUAGAUACCCCCGUAGUCCCUGAGCGGGCUGGCAAGGCGCAU
rnacentral:rRNA from 1 species